rnacentral:tRNA from 2 species
GGCGUGGUGGCGAAGUGGUAACGCUUCGGUCUGCAAAACCGACACGCGCGGGUUCGAUUCCCGCCCACGCCUCUA